AUUGAACGCUGGCGGCAGGCCUAACACAUGCAAGUCGAGCGGAUGAAGGGAGCUUGCUCCUGGAUUCAGCGGCGGACGGGUGAGUAAUGCCUAGGAAUCUGCCUGGUAGUGGGGGAUAACGUCCGGAAACGGGCGCUAAUACCGCAUACGUCCUGAGGGAGAAAGUGGGGGAUCUUCGGACCUCACGCUAUCAGAUGAGCCUAGGUCGGAUUAGCUAGUUGGUGGGGUAAAGGCCUACCAAGGCGACGAUCCGUAACUGGUCUGAGAGGAUGAUCAGUCACACUGGAACUGAGACACGGCCCAGACUCCUACGGGAGGCAGCAGUGGGGAAUAUUGGACAAUGGACGAAAGCCUGAUCCAGCCAUGCCGCGUGUGUGAAGAAGGUCUUCGGAUUGUAAAGCACUUUAAGUUGGGAGGAAGGGCAGUAAGUUAAUACCUUGCUGUUUUGACGUUACCAACAGAAUAAGCACCGGCUAACUUCGUG
rnacentral:rRNA from 1 species